AUGCUUACUUUAACUAGUUAUUUUGGUUUUCUACUGGCUGCUUUAACUAUAACCCCAGCUCUAUUUAUUGGCCAUUAUCGCUUAGCUUUCGACUUUUCGGGAAUAUAUUGGCGGAUGAAUUAG
rnacentral:rRNA from 1 species